AUGCACUCCGCCACGACGACGUCCGAAAAUCUUGAAAGUUGCAGUGAGAAGAUGGUAGACAGAAUCAGCAACCUUCCAGACGAAGUUGCUCAUAACAUUCUUGCCUUCCUUGACAUAACAGACCUCACUCGUUGCGGCUGUGUCUCCAAAAGAUGGAGAGAACUUUAUCUGUCAACUCCUUCACUGGAUUUUGAUGGGUUUUCUGAUGCAAUGCAAAUACAUCCACCUGCUCAAAGCGGUUAAUGUUGUUGAGUUCUUUGGAUAGGUUUUUAUUGCUGCAUUGUGCGGUUAAUAAGAUACAGCGCUUCCGUAUUUGUUGGAAUAAUUUGCUUUCAGAAGAAAAUCCAUGUUUCAUUGAAGAUGUGAGGUUUCGAGUUAUUACGUGGAUCCACAAUGCUCUGAGGUGUAAAGUUGAAGUUCUUGAGGUUGACGUCAUAGUAUUUGAAGUGAGACCUUAUUUGUUACCAUCGUCUGUCUUUCUUUGUGGAUCUUUGAGGUCUCUAUUGCUCAACAGUAUUAGUUUGAUUCUUAAAGCACCCUCACUUGCUUCUUCCUCUAAUCUUGAAUGCUUGAAGUUGGAAUUUGUUGAUAUAGAAGAUGAUGAGGGGUUUUUCAAAUGGAUCUCAUGUUCAUGUAAGUGCAUCAAGGAAUUACAUCUCUGUCAUGUUUCUGGAAUACAACAGGUCAUCAUUGAAAGCCCCCUUUGAAAUCGUUUAGUUUUGUGCAUGACACUGAUUCCGAUCUUUUUCCCUACCUCUUCCUUAGCAUCUCAGGUGAAAAACUUGAAGAGGUACUUAUUGACUGGGAAUUUGGAUCCACUUCCGAGAAUUUUUUAAAUAUUUUUGCUCCAAAUCUUAAAUAUUUGAAAUGGUCGGGGAAUGUAGUGCUUCGAAAAAAAUUGGGGGAAUUUAUGUGUUUAGAAAAAGCUCAGGUUUUUUUAAAGCCUCAAGCGGAUGACGUUAAAAUCUUGUCUGAGGUUCUGCGCAGUAUAACUAUAAACAGGGUUGAAGCUCUUGUUCUAAACAAAGAGACCACCAUGGCUCUGUUACAUGGAGUUUUCGUACCAGGGCUACUGGAGAAUGUUUGUUAUUUGUCUAUUCAUAUUGGAAGCUUUCUUGAUAUCCUAGUCCUAGAAAUGGUCACUAUGUUUGCAGGAAUGUGUAAUUUGAGAACUUUGGAAAUAAAGUCUGACCCACAGUUCCUUGACCUUAAAACUGAUUGUUCUGGUUUUAAUAUGGGAUAUUGGAGAUUGCAAAACCUUGCAUUUAUUCCUCAUCUUAAGGAGGUAACCAUAGAGCUCUCGAAUGGGUCUAACGGAAUUGAGUUAGCAGCGUACAUGCUUGAGUAUGCCCAAAACUUGAAGAAAAUGGUGAUUGUGCAUUCACCCCAGCAAUCUAGUGUUAUAAGGAAGUUAAAUAAAAGCAAGAGGAUUUCCAGUGCCACAGUUGUCUUUCAGGAAGAUCAACAAAGAGGAAACAAAAAGCAAAGACUAAGAUAAUGUAGCUUUACAAGGGCAUCUCUCCUCCUGCAUUGAGCUCAACAACAGCAAUUUUUAGGCAUUUUGUGUUGCAAUGUUGAACUAUGUGUAUUUGACAUGUAAUGUAGGCACUAAACUCUGUUUUGGUCUGUUCUAGUUUAGGCCAUUUUAUCUUGAAACAUUACAAUAUGACUAGAAGUUAGAACUUGAUUG